ACCCUAAGCCCAGCUUCUCAGAGCAGCUAUUUCCAAAUACCCCUUACCCUUCGUGAAGCUACAGAGGAGACUAGACUGGGCUGCUCGUCCUCAUAGAAAGGCAACCUAGAUUAUAUGUUAGCCUAUCCAAAUGGAAGGAGAAGGUCAAGAAGGGAAGCUCCAGGGGUUUUCUCUAUUCUUUCUCGAGGAAUAGAAGGAGAAGUUCCAAAGGGGGGGUUUUUUCUAUUCUUUCUCGAGGAAUAGAAGGCACUACAAUAAAGAUAGACUCCUUUCUCAUCGCCCCCUUUACUAAUAAUGACUUUCAGGGUUCUUGAGAUUAUAAAGAUUGACAUUUGAUGUUCCAUAUUGUACAUCUUCAGCAGUACUUUCUUUUCAUUGUAUUAAUGGUUCUUUAU
rnacentral:lncRNA from 1 species